rnacentral:rRNA from 1 species
AAAAUUAGAGUGUUCAAAGCAGGCAGAUUCAAUUUUCUGCCACCGAAUACAUUAGCAUGGGAUAAUGGAAUAGGACCCUGUCCUCCUAUUUUCAGUUGGUUUUGGCAGCGCGAGGACUAGGGUAAUGAUUAAUAGGGAUAGUUGGGGGCAUUAAUAUUUAAUUGUCAGAGGUGAAAUUCUUGGAUUUAUGAAAGAUUAACUUCUGCGAAAGCAUCUGCCAAGGAUGUUUUCAUUAAUCAAGAACGAAAGUUAGGGGAUCGAAGACGAUCAGAUACCGUCGUAGUCUUAACCAUAAACGAUGCCGACCAGCGAUUAGGAGACGUUGAAUACAAAACACCACCAUCGGCGCGGUCGUCCUUGGCGUUCGUGUUCACGCACGAGCGCGAGGGCGGUUUAGCCCGAU